UACGUAGGGUGCAAGCGUUAAUCGGAAUUACUGGGCGUAAAGCGUGCGCAGGCGGUUUUGUAAGUCUGACGUGAAAUCCCCGGGCUCAACCUGGGAAUUGCGUUGGAGACUGCAAGGCUGGAGUCUGGCAGAGGGGGGUAGAAUUCCACGUGUAGCAGUGAAAUGCGUAGAGAUGUGGAGGAACACCGAUGGCGAAGGCAGCCCCCUGGGUCAAGACUGACGCUCAUGCACGAAAGCGUGGGGGGCAAACAGG
rnacentral:rRNA from 1 species